ACCGUCUUUGUCAUGGGGUGAGAGCUUGUUCAAUGAGCGUUUAGCGAGAGCAAGACUGCUGACACCAUUACAAUAAACAAACCGCAUCGCCUCGUAAAGAGGUCAGGGUGCAAUUUUUAAAGCC
rfam:Biomphalaria glabrata isolate BB02 linkage group LG78i unlocalized genomic scaffold LG78i_random_Scaffold11, whole genome shotgun sequence.